rnacentral:misc_RNA from 1 species
AGAUCAUCCUCAGGUAAUGCCCAUUGACUCAGCUCUUGUUCACCGACUGGAACUUUAUCGAUCUCAUAAGAUCGAUACGCAAUAGCAAUACAGCGCAAACUGCCGGCUGGCCUGCCAUAUCUUCAAUAGCUUUCUUGAAAAAUAAAGCCUUUUCAUCAUCCAUUGGUUCGAUGUUAUCAUUUUCACCAAAGUAAGCUGUACAUGAGGAUAAGACUAUUUCAGCAGCCCCCUUCCAGU